rnacentral:rRNA from 1 species
CCUACGGGAGGCAGCAGUAAGGAAUAUUGGACAAUGGUGGCAACACUGAUCCAGCCAUGCCGCGUGCAGGAUGACGGUUCUAUGAAUUGUAAACUGCUUUUAUACGGGAAAAACCCUCAAGACGUGAUUUUGAGCUGAUUGUACCGUAAGAAUAAGGAUCGGCUAACUUCGUGCCAGCAGCCGCGGUAAUACGGAGGGUGCAAGCGUUAUCCGGAUUCACUGGGUUUAAAGGGUGCGUAGGUGGGCAUUUAAGUCAGUGGUGAAAUCUCCGGGCUUAACCCGGAAACUGCCAUUGAUACUAUUUGUCUUGAAUAUUGUGGAGGUAAGCGGAAUAUGUCAUGUAGCGGUGAAAUGCUUAGAUAUGACAUAGAACACCCAUUGCGAAGGCAGCUUACUACGCAAAUAUUGACACUGAGGCACGAAAGCGUGGGGAUCAAACAGGAUUAGAUACCCUGGUAGUCCACGCCCUAAACGAUGGAUACUCGACANNNGANACACAUGUGUGUGAGNGAAGAGAUAAGUAUAACCUACCUCGAGAGACGACGAGUAGAAGACGAAGAAGUUAGAGGCGNGAGAGNGCGACGACGACGACGAGGAGGAGGAG